AGGUAUAUAACAUAAUAGGUAAUGUAAUGAAUUGCAAAUUCAUCAAAUGCGAGUUCAAUUCUCGCUAUAACCU
rnacentral:tRNA from 1 species